GACGAACGCUGGCGGCGCGCUUAAUACAUGCAAGUCGAGCGAGAACCAGGGCUUCGGCCCUGGGGACAGCGGCGAACGGGUGAGUAACACGUGGGUAUCAACCCCCGACACCGGGAUAGCCCAGGGAAACUUGGAUUAAUACCGGAUGCCCCAUCUGGCUUUCGAGCCGGCUGGAAAAGGGUAGCUUCGGCCUCCGGUCGGGGACGAGCCCGCGGCGGAUUAGCUUGUUGGUGAGGUAAAGGCUCACCAAGGCGACGAUCCGUAGCUGGUCGGAGAGGACGAUCGGCCACACUGGGACUGGGACACGGCCCAGACUCCUACGGGAGGCAGCAGUAGGGAAUCUUGCGCAAUGGGCGAAAGCCUGACGCAGCGACGCCGCGUGAGGGAAGAAGGCCUUCGGGUUGUAAACCUCUUUCAGGAGGGACGAAGCCACUCGGGUUAAUAGCCUAGAGGGUGACGGUACCUCCAGAAGAAGCCCCGGCUAACUACGUGCCAGCCGCCGCCGUAAGAC
rnacentral:rRNA from 1 species